CGGCGCCACCGCGCGCCUUCCUCAGCCGCUGUUAACCCCGGGGUCUAGAGAAGCACUGAGAGGACUCCUCAGCCUGGCGCUGUGCACAAUUAAAAUAGCAGAGUUCCCAUCUCCAAGGAAUUUGCAACCAUAGACAGCACAGUGAAGACAGGUGUUAACUUGAAGGCAGCGCACAAACGGGAGGCAAUUGAAGUUGUCACCUACUGUACAACACAGUGGCCCUUGUAUGAAGAUCCAAGACACAUAUGGAAAUUAAAGAUUUAAUUAUCACUCCUUUGGAGGAUUUGUUGGCCAUCAGCAACUUGGGCUUAACUUGGGUCCAAUUUUAUAAUUUUAGUAAAUUAUAAUAAUAUUUAUGAUAUCUAUAA
rnacentral:lncRNA from 1 species